ensembl:lncRNA
GACCUUUUAUUAGGGACUUCCCAAAACUUGUGAACUCAGAAAAUGAACUAAAAUAAACUUUUCAAGAACUUGACCCAACACUGUUUGCAUUAUAAGUAUAACUUCAUGUAUGUUACAGACAUUACAGAGAACAGCUGAGGUGGCAGGGGAGAUUGAGAUGACCAAAUCCCACCUGAACAAAACAAGUGAAGAUCUUCAGCAGUGGGUCACAGAUGUUCCGUUGUGGGCAGCAUCAAGUAAGUUUGUUACUAAAUCUAAAGAAAUCAUGUCAUGUGUGCAAGGGUGUAGGAAUGAGUUUGAUAUUGAGGGGGACUCAUUUUAUUCAACAAUCGUUGUUUUUAUUGGGUGGGACCACAUUAACUGCCACUAGGGAUCAUGUCCCCCCUUCCCCACCCGCUCCUACGCCCUUCCAUUUGUGAAAUUUGAAUGUUAGAACUUUUUGAAUAUUAUGUUUGUACGCUUAUCGUUUUGUUUGCAAACAGCUCCGAGUACCAUCAGUUCACAUGAUCCACAGGGGCUGCAGCGUCUAAUGGAAGGCUUGGUCCUUAAAAUCCACCAAAAGAAAAUGGAGUUGUACAGAGAGACAGACAGCAACAAAGACAGGCGACGCAAGCGAUCUGCCAUUGCUAAAGAGAAGAGCAAACUAGAAGAGGCCAUAACAUCAUACAGUGCUCUGGUCUCAAAUGCAGAGGCUGUGGAUCCAGCAGACACCCUUUUAGCACAAGACUUUUCAAUAUGGCCUUGGGAAACAGGUAGAGAUUGGAACAGGAAAUAUUAUUGUCAACGCAGUAUUUAAGUUGUCUUUGUCUUCACUUACCACAAUAGUGCACAAUUAGAUUCCAUGUAGUUUAGUUUUAUGUUACAUUUAUUUAUAAAGAGAGAAUCAGACUGAGUCCUUGGUCUCUUUUACAACUGAGCCUUGUGGACAGAAUAUGUAAAAUAUAAUUACAAGAAACAUUAUUAAGAAUAACAAUUACAGCACAUUCAACAGAAAAUGGUUAAAGUGUAACUCUCGCCAAAAUUU